AACGAACGCUGGCGGCAGGCUUAACACAUGCAAGUCGAACGCCCCGCAAGGGGAGUGGCGCACGGGUGAGUAACGCGUGGGAAUAUGCCCUUCGGUUCGGAAUAACACAGGGAAACUUGUGCUAAUACCGGAUACGAUCUACGGAUGAAAGAUUCAUCGCCGAAGGAGUAGCCCGCGUAGGAUUAGCUAGUUGGUGAGGUAAUGGCUCACCAAGGCGACGAUCCUUAGCUGGUCUGAGAGGAUGAUCAGCCACACUGGAACUGAGACACGGUCCAGACUCCUACGGGAGGCAGCAGUCGAGAGGCUUCGGCAAUGGGGGGAAACCCUGACCGAGCGACGCCGCGUGGGCGAUGAAGCCCUUCGGGGUGUAAAGCUCUUUUGUGAGGGAAGAACUGCAACGGCCUAAUACGCUGUUGUUUGACGGUACCUUACGAAUAAGCUCCGGCUAACUCCGUGCCAGCAGCCGCGGUAAGGUGACGCUCU
rnacentral:rRNA from 1 species